rnacentral:rRNA from 1 species
UGGGGAAUCUUGCACAAUGGGCGAAAGCCUGAUGCAGCAACGCCGCGUGCGGGAAGACAGCCCUAGGGUUGUAAACCGCUUUCAGCAGGGAAGAAACUGACGGUACCUGCAGAAGAAGAUGCGGCCAACUACGUGCCAGCAGCCGCGGUGACACGUAGGCAUCAAGCGUUAUCCGGAUUUAUUGGGCGUAAAGAGCUCGUAGGCGGUCCGUUGCGUCUGCCGUGAAAACCCGGAGCUCAACUCCGGGCCUGCGGUGGAUACGGGCGGACUAGAGUCCGGUAGGGGAGACUGGAAUUCCUGGUGUAGCGGUGGAAUGCGCAGAUAUCAGGAGGAACACCGGUGGCGAAGGCGGGUCUCUGGGCCGGAACUGACGCUGAGGAGCGAAAGCGUGGGGAGCGACAGGAUUAGAUACCCUGGUAGUCCACGCCGUAAA